CCUACGGGAGGCUGCAGUGAGGAAUAUUGGUCAAUGGACGAGAGUCUGAACCAGCCAAGUAGCGUGAAGGAUGACUGCCCUAUGGGUUGUAAACUUCUUUUAUAUGGGAAUAAAAUGUUCCACGUGUGGGAUUUUGUAUGUACCAUAUGAAUAAGGAUCGGCUAACUCCGUGCCAGCAGCCGCGGCAAUACGGAGGAUCCGAGCGUUAUCCGGAUUUAUUGGGUUUAAAGGGAGCGUAGGUGGAUUGUUAAGUCAGUUGUGAAAGUUUGCGGCUCAACCGUAAAAUUGCAGUUGAAACUGGCAGUCUUGAGUACAGUAGAGGUGGGCGGAAUUCGUGGUGUAGCGGUGAAAUGCUUAGAUAUCACGAAGAACUCCGAUUGCGAAGGCAGUUCACUGGACUGCAACUGACACUGAGGCUCGAAAGUGUGGGUAUCAAACAGGAUUAGAUACCCUAGUAGUC
rnacentral:rRNA from 1 species